rnacentral:rRNA from 1 species
AGAUUGAACGCUGGCGGCAUGCCUUACACAUGCAAGUCGAACGCGAAAGCGGGGCAACCCGCAAGUAGAGUGGCGAACGGGUGAGUAAUACAUCGGAACGUGUCCCGUGGUGGGGGAUAACCCGGCGAAAGCCCGGGCUAAUACCGCAUAUGCUCUGAGGAGGAAAGUGGGGGACCUGCAAGGGCCUCACGCCAUGGGAGCGGCCGAUGUCCGAUUAGCGUUGUUGGUGGGGUAAAGCUUACCAAGGCGACGAUCGGUAGCUGGUCUGAGAGGAUGAUCAGCCACACGUGGACUGACGACACGGCCCAGACCUCCGUACGGGAGCCAGUCGAAGGUGGGGUAAUUUGGGACAAGUGGGGGCAACCCGUGACUCCGAGGCCAGUCGCCGCGUGGACGGGAAGAAGGGCCGUUCGGGUUAGUAACCGUCCGUUUUAAGACCCGGGAAAGUAAGUACGACGUACGGGG